rnacentral:lncRNA from 1 species
UUUUUUUUUGUUUCCUCUUUAAGGGCUUCUAGUUGUUUACUUGUGUUGUCCUGUAUUUCUUUAAGGGAGUUAUUUAUGACUUUCUUAAAGUCCUCCUGAUGGACAUCAUGAUAAAAUGUGAUUUAAAAUCUAGAUCUUGCUUUUCUGGUGUGUUUGGAUAUCCAGUGUUUGCUUUGGUGGGAGGAUUGGGCUCUGAUGAUGCCAAGUAGUCUUGAUUUCUGUUGCUUGGGUUCAUGCACUUACCUCUCACGAUCAGGUUGUCUCUGGUGUUAGCUUGUCUUGGUGUUUCUAAUGGUGGCUUGACCCUCCAGUGGGCCUGUGUGCCAGCACUGCUGUUGACCUGUUUUCCUGUUUUCUUUCAGCCAGUUAUGGGAACAGAGUGUUCUGUUCACAGGUGUCUAGUCGUUCCUGUUUGUUGGCUUUCAUCUCUUCAUGUGGGCAGGAACCAGAAGGGUACUGCCCCUACUUCUCCUUGGUCCCUGUGUGCAGGGGACACAGAUAGCACAUGGCGUUUUCCUCUUGAGUUGGGAAUGUGAGGUGAGAGUAGUCUCUAGUUUCACAGGAGUGUCUGCCCCUCUGAUGGUCUAGCUUUCCCUGCAUG